CUUGCAAGCGUUUUUUCUCGUUCGCGUACUUUGUGCGCAGGUUCGUUUCUCCUUCUGUAGAUUGGAUGUCAUCGGGAUACCAUUGCGCGGUUCUAGGUUGUACGGACAACCGCCGGAAGCGUCCGAUAGCAUAGAACGAGCUCUGCAGCGUGCACAGAAGCCUGUAAGGCGAGUGCGGGUGCAAUGUUUUGAAGCUUCAUCGCUUUCCGGAUGAGAAAGAACUCCGUCGUCAGUAAGUUGCGUCGGUAAAUCGGGAAGACGUUUGCCCAUCGCCGUACUCCCGAGUAUGCUCGCGGCAUUUCACGGAUGGAGUGCGCGCCGAGACCUCCGUCCCGACUGUCGACAUGGGCUACAGUCGCGAGAAGCAGCCCUGAAACGGCAGUUGCUACCACUUUGGCAUUCCCAAAGGUUCUUCGACGCGCCUACAAAGAAAAAGCGCAGCCCUGGGCACCGAUAGAUCGGUCCUUCCCCGGACACGGCCAGACCACGCAAGAUUCACUCCAUCCGUGGAGCGGGAAGGGCAAGCACGUCAAGCCGAGCAGAGUCUACUGAGAGUUGCAGCGGCACAACAACAGGAAAAGACGCAGGACCUUGAGUAUCACGCAUGACAGGCAGUGUGUUAGUGCAGAAGGUGUCAAGACCCCCGUGUUUGCAAGGAAAAGGAAAACAGAAAGCGUCAACAACGAUCUCCAGACGACAGUAUCCGGGAGGACGGGACGGACGUAAAUUAGUGGAGGUGGCGGGAUCCAGACGUCAUUCCCUUUGCUGCGGCGACCACCACAUUAGAAGCACGUCACGCUCUGAUUUUCUUGGCAGAGAGCACAUUUUGUAAAAACACCGCGCGAAAGCGCAUCUACAACUAUACUACUAGGAGUGGAGCUCUUCAAGCGAUUACCCUAAAGCGCGUCGGCAGAGGGUAUUUAAUCUAACGCACAUCUUGCGACCACGCAACAGCUCCCGCUGUUGGCUGUCGAUCGCAAUCCUGUUUGCGUGGUCGUUUGCAAUUUUUUACGGCGAAGCUGUUAAGGGCCAGUUCCCCCACUAUCGUGUCCGCGUACAAGCGGCGUGUCGACACAAGACUCGAGCCAGUUCACUGUUAUCCUCAGUCUCAUACGACGAGGAGAGUCGUCCAUUGUGUUCCGUGCCGUCUCUCCCCCAAUGCUGUCGGCAAUGGAGGCUUGCCGGUCCAUUGUGCCGUCACGCAGCUUCACCUUCUUCACCAGCGUCAGUGGCCGCCUGCGUUUGGGACAUCGAGCACGCCCCGUGAUUGGAGUGGCCCUACUAGAAUGAAACGUCAUUGUCUCACCUACUAAUCGUGUGCGUCCUGUGUCCCGUGACGGCGAGAUCGCGUUGGGGCUCUUAUCGGUUGCCCUUUGGACUCGCGAUGGGUCGGCCGCGUCGCCUUUAUUCGGAGCAAGAAGAGGAGGAGCGCAAGGAGCGGCGGCGUGUGCAGCAGCUUGAAUGGCAGCGCAACAAACGCCGCCAAGCGGCUAUGGCCUCGAAUUCCACUGCGUCGUGUAAUUCCGAAUUUCUCGCGAAAGAAGAGAAGAUUGCCCGCCUGGAACGCCGCCGAGAACAGAACCGGCAAUAUGAACGGCGCCGGCGGGCCAACAAAACGGACGAGGAUCGUGCCAGGGAAGCCAAGCGCAAGCGCGAGGCCCGGCGACGACGGGCCGCCACGCCGGCUGAACAGUUCCCGGGUGCGACGGCCAGCUUCUGGAGGGAAUUCGUGGAGGACCCGUUCGGCGUCACGUGUGACAGAGGGGACUUUGGCCCGGAUCAGUUCCAGAUAGCCUCAAGGAGGACCAGCAGGGAAGAGGAGAACAAUGGUUUUGACGUGGAGACUUCUGAAAAGAACUCUGGAAAUGACAGUUUUGUGGGCCAUCUGUCAGGUGUGCAGGAUGAAGUGCAAGAAAGCAUACUGCCAGACGAUGGACCGGGCUGGGGUGGAUCCAGUGGUGAGAGUACCAUUUCAGCCAACACCAUCAAGACAGAGCCACCAGAUUAUGUCGAAGAGGACAAAGAGCCCGGCAGCCAUCUUGCGUCCGUGAAGUCGGAGCUGGAUCUCUUUGGGGUAGAUUGGAAACCUCACAGCCGAGUGCCUGCUCUUACCAAAGGGGUGGACGGUUCCAGCGGCAAUGGCACGAUGGCAGCUGCGACUAUCAAGACGGAGCCACCCGAAUAUGUCGAACAGGACGAAGAGCCUAGCUGCCAUCUUCUGUCCGUCAAAUCAGAGCCAGAAUAUUACGAGGAGGUUCGGGAACCUGGGAACCCAGUGCCAGCUCUGACGGAAGGUGAACCACCAGGUCGCAUGGACGUGACAAAGGUUACGUUCCACACAAAUCCAGAGCCGCAGGUUUCCCAAGAGGCCCAGCAACGUGGCAACGCAGCAGUGGCCGGCAAGAUUGAGCCUCAAGAUCCGACGGAAGCCGACGAUCCGGUGCUUCCCGCAGAGACAGGGGUGAAUGGUUCCAGUGGCAAUGGCAUGAUGGCAGCUGCGACUAUAAAGACGGAGCCACCCGAAUAUGUCGAGCAGGACGAAGAGCCGAGCUGCCAUCUUGUGUCUGUUAAAUCAGAGCCAGAAUAUUACGAGGAAGUCUGGGAACCUGGGAACCCAGUGCCAGCUCUGACGGAAGGUGAACCACCAGGUCGCAUGGACGUGACAAAGGUUACGUUCCACACAAAUCCAGAGCCGCAGGUUUCCCAAGAGGCCCAGCAACGUGGCAACGCAGCAGUGGCCGUCAAGAUUGAGCCUCAAGAUCCGACGGAAGGCGACGAUCAGGGGCUUCCCGCGGAGACUGGCCCGGGUGGGGCAGCUGCGAAGGAGUCCCAGCCAGGUGCAGUCCCCGUGCAUCCCACUGGCCCGCAUCCCAUCCUGGCUCGGCCACCGCGGGGGGUUGUCCCCCCCAUCUCGGACAGAGCACAGCCGCGGGUGAAGGUCGUCUACUUCCGCAAGGUGGAGCGGGGCAUUGCCACGCAGCCCGUGGUGACGACUCUGCCGGUCGCGGCGCUGCAGUCCCUCCUGGCGGCCGAGUCCCCACAGCCGGGCUUCGUGCCAGUCUGGCUUCCUGGUUCCGGAAUGUCUUCGAAGCACGUUCCUGUUUAUCAGGAUAUCGACGGAGUCAGGGACUUCUCGGCAUACAAGGUUGACCUCGACAACGAGGCACUCAUCUUCGUGCUCCACAAUGGCGACAUCGUCAUGGUUUCGCCUCUAAAAUGCGGAAACAACCGGCUUGAACAAAUCAUGAAACUUAUUUUAUACAGAGGCCAGUCCGCCAACGACCUAACAGAGUACGGAGUACCACAAACGAACGCCAUACAUCGAAAUGGUAGGUACAGGCCCUGCGAGGGACAUGCACCCUCUUCGCUGUUUCAAGACACUUUUCAGUUACGAACGCCAGCCCAUAAACACUGUUAUACCCGGUGCCAAGUACGUGUACUUGGCAAGGAACCUCCUGGACAUCUGCGUUUCCUUCUACUCCUUCACUCGCACCGUGCAGAUGUACAGAUUCAGGGAUGGAACGUUCGAUGAUUUCUUCGAGCUCUGCGUGACAGGCCAGAACGAUCGUGGCCACUUCUUUGAUCACUUGAUGUUCAGGUACCCUCAUAAGGAUGGCGCCAAAGUCUUUUUUGUCUCGUAUGAGGAAUUCAAGAGGAACUUCAGAGACAUUGUCUUGAGACUUGAUCGUUUUCUGGGAGACGAGUACGCCAAGGCGCUGGUGUCAAAAGAUCUCUUCCAAAAGGUCGUUGAACAGAGCAGCCUUUCCUUCAUGUCCCAGUUUCUGACGUUUAGGGAAGAGAAAAUGAGAAAAUUGUUUGAAAAAGGCGAUAAGGACUUGUUAGAGGCCGCAAACAGGUUUGCCUGGGUUGGUUCUGAAUGAUUUCUGAACAAAAGU